rnacentral:piRNA from 1 species
AGUUUGUUUGUUCUCAAGAGGGU